rnacentral:rRNA from 1 species
GUGCAGCAGGCGAGAAAACUUUACACUGCGGGAAACCGCGAUAAGGGGACCCCGAGUGCCAGCACCUAGUGCUGGCUGUCCUACUGUCUAAAUAACAGUGGUUAGCAAGGGCCGGGCAAGACCGGUGCCAGCCGCCGCGGUAACACCGGCGGCCCGAGUGGUAACCGUUUUUAUUGGGUUUAAAGGGUCCGUAGCCGGCUUACUAAGUCUCUUGGGAAAUCUGGCGGCUCAAUCGUCAGGCGGCCAAGAGAUACUGGUAGGCUUGGGAUCGGGAGAGGUGGGAGGUACUCCAGGGGUAGGGGUGAAAUCUCGUAAUCCUUGGGGGACCACCGAUGGCGAAGGCAUCCCACCAGAACGGGUUCGACGGUGAGGGACGAAAGCUGGGGGCACGAACCGGAUUAGAUACCCGGGUAGUCCCAGCUGUAAACGAUGCUCGCUAGGUGUCAGGUGCGGUGCGACCGCAUCUGGUGCCGCAGUGAAACCUUGAAGCGAGUCACCUGGGAAGUACGGUCGCAAGGCUGAAACCUAAAGGAAUUGGCGGGGGAGCAC